rnacentral:rRNA from 1 species
UGCGUAGGUGGCCUUUUAAGUUGGAUGUGAAAUACCCGGGCUUAACUUGGGGGGUGCAUCCAAAAACUGGGAGGCUAGAGUGCAGGAGAGGAAAGCGGAAUUCCUAGUGUAGCGGUGAAAUGCGUAGAUAUUAGGAGGAACACCAGUGGCGAAGGCGGCUUUCUGGACUGUAACUGACACUGAGGCACGAAAGCGUGGGGAGCAAACA